GGGUUGUGAGGUUAAGCGACUAAGCGUACACGGUGGAUGCCCUGGCAGUCAGAGGCGAUGAAGGACGUGCUAAUCUGCGAUAAGCGUCGGUAAGGUGAUAUGAACCGUUAUAACCGGCGAUUUCCGAAUGGGGAAACCCAGUGUGUUUCGACACACUAUCAUUAACUGAAUCCAUAGGUUAAUGAGGCGAACCGGGGGAACUGAAACAUCUAAGUACCCCGAGGAAAAGAAAUCAACCGAGAUUCCCCCAGUAGCGGCGAGCGAACGGGGAGCAGCCCAGAGCCUGAAUCAGUGUGUGUGUUAGUGGAAGCGUCUGGAAAGGCGCGCGAUACAGGGUGACAGCCCCGUACACAAAAAUGCACAUACUGUGAGCUCGAUGAGUAGGGCGGGACACGUGGUAUCCUGUCUGAAUAUGGGGGGACCAUCCUCCAAGGCUAAAUACUCCUGACUGACCGAUAGUGAACCAGUACCGUGAGGGAAAGGCGAAAAGAACCCCGGCGAGGGGAGUGAAAAAGAACCUGAAACCGUGUACGUACAAGCAGUGGGAGCCUCUUUUAUGGGGUGACUGCGUACCUUUUGUAUAAUGGGUCAGCGACUUAUAUUCUGUAGCAAGGUUAACCGAAUAGGGGAGCCGAAGGGAAACCGAGUCUUAACUGGGCGUUAAGUUGCAGGGUAUAGACCCGAAACCCGGUGAUCUAGCCAUGGGCAGGUUGAAGGUUGGGUAACACUAACUGGAGGACCGAACCGACUAAUGUUGAAAAAUUAGCGGAUGACUUGUGGCUGGGGGUGAAAGGCCAAUCAAACCGGGAGAUAGCUGGUUCUCCCCGAAAGCUAUUUAGGUAGCGCCUCGUGAAUUCAUCUCCGGGGGUAGAGCACUGUUUCGGCAAGGGGGUCAUCCCGACUUACCAACCCGAUGCAAACUGCGAAUACCGGAGAAUGUUAUCACGGGAGACACACGGCGGGUGCUAACGUCCGUCGUGAAGAGGGAAACAACCCAGACCGCCAGCUAAGGUCCCAAAGUCAUGGUUAAGUGGGAAACGAUGUGGGAAGGCCCAGACAGCCAGGAUGUUGGCUUAGAAGCAGCCAUCAUUUAAAGAAAGCGUAAUAGCUCACUGGUCGAGUCGGCCUGCGCGGAAGAUGUAACGGGGCUAAACCAUGCACCGAAGCUGCGGCAGCGACGCUUAUGCGUUGUUGGGUAGGGGAGCGUUCUGUAAGCCUGUGAAGGUGUGCUGUGAGGCAUGCUGGAGGUAUCAGAAGUGCGAAUGCUGACAUAAGUAACGAUAAAGCGGGUGAAAAGCCCGCUCGCCGGAAGACCAAGGGUUCCUGUCCAACGUUAAUCGGGGCAGGGUGAGUCGACCCCUAAGGCGAGGCCGAAAGGCGUAGUCGAUGGGAAACAGGUUAAUAUUCCUGUACUUGGUGUUACUGCGAAGGGGGGACGGAGAAGGCUAUGUUGGCCGGGCGACGGUUGUCCCGGUUUAAGCGUGUAGGCUGGUUUUCCAGGCAAAUCCGGAAAAUCAAGGCUGAGGCGUGAUGACGAGGCACUACGGUGCUGAAGCAACAAAUGCCCUGCUUCCAGGAAAAGCCUCUAAGCAUCAGGUAACAUCAAAUCGUACCCCAAACCGACACAGGUGGUCAGGUAGAGAAUACCAAGGCGCUUGAGAGAACUCGGGUGAAGGAACUAGGCAAAAUGGUGCCGUAACUUCGGGAGAAGGCACGCUGAUAUGUAGGUGAAGUGAUUUACUCAUGGAGCUGAAAUCAGUCGAAGAUACCAGCUGGCUGCAACUGUUUAUUAAAAACACAGCACUGUGCAAACACGAAAGUGGACGUAUACGGUGUGACGCCUGCCCGGUGCCGGAAGGUUAAUUGAUGGGGUCAGCGCAAGCGAAGCUCUUGAUCGAAGCCCCGGUAAACGGCGGCCGUAACUAUAACGGUCCUAAGGUAGCGAAAUUCCUUGUCGGGUAAGUUCCGACCUGCACGAAUGGCGUAAUGAUGGCCAGGCUGUCUCCACCCGAGACUCAGUGAAAUUGAACUCGCUGUGAAGAUGCAGUGUACCCGCGGCAAGACGGAAAGACCCCGUGAACCUUUACUAUAGCUUGACACUGAACAUUGAGCCUUGAUGUGUAGGAUAGGUGGGAGGCUUUGAAGUGUGGACGCCAGUCUGCAUGGAGCCGACCUUGAAAUACCACCCUUUAAUGUUUGAUGUUCUAACGUUGACCCGUAAUCCGGGUUGCGGACAGUGUCUGGUGGGUAGUUUGACUGGGGCGGUCUCCUCCUAAAGAGUAACGGAGGAGCACGAAGGUUGGCUAAUCCUGGUCGGACAUCAGGAGGUUAGUGCAAUGGCAUAAGCCAGCUUGACUGCGAGCGUGACGGCGCGAGCAGGUGCGAAAGCAGGUCAUAGUGAUCCGGUGGUUCUGAAUGGAAGGGCCAUCGCUCAACGGAUAAAAGGUACUCCGGGGAUAACAGGCUGAUACCGCCCAAGAGUUCAUAUCGACGGCGGUGUUUGGCACCUCGAUGUCGGCUCAUCACAUCCUGGGGCUGAAGUAGGUCCCAAGGGUAUGGCUGUUCGCCAUUUAAAGUGGUACGCGAGCUGGGUUUAGAACGUCGUGAGACAGUUCGGUCCCUAUCUGCCGUGGGCGCUGGAGAACUGAGGGGGGCUGCUCCUAGUACGAGAGGACCGGAGUGGACGCAUCACUGGUGUUCGGGUUGUCAUGCCAAUGGCACUGCCCGGUAGCUAAAUGCGGAAGAGAUAAGUGCUGAAAGCAUCUAAGCACGAAACUUGCCCCGAGAUGAGUUCUCCCUGACUCCUUGAGAGUCCUGAAGGAACGUUGAAGACGACGACGUUGAUAGGCCGGGUGUGUAAGCGCAGCGAUGCGUUGAGCUAACCGGUACUAAUGAACCGUGAGGCUUAACCUUACAACGCCGAAG
rnacentral:rRNA from 1 species